rnacentral:rRNA from 1 species
UACAGAGGGUGCAAGCGUUGUUCGGAAUUAUUGGGCGUAAAGGGAGUGUAGGCGGUCUGUUAAGUCUUCUGUGAAAUCUACGGGCUUAGCCUGUAACGUGCAGAGGAAACUGACAGGCUUGAGUGUCGGAGAGGAUAGGGGAAUUCCCGGUGUAGAGGUGAAAUUCGUAGAGAUCGGGAGGAACACCAGUGGCGAAGGCGGGUCUCUGGGCCGAAACUGACGCUGAGGAGCGAAAGCGUGGGGAGCGAACAGG